UGGUCCAGUGGCUACGACUCUGCAUUCCCAAUGCAGGGAGCCUGGGUUCGAUUCCUGG
rnacentral:tRNA from 1 species